GGGGGAAUCGCAUAGUGGCCAAUUGCGGCUGACUGUAACUCAGCUAACGUAUGUUUUCGGUGGUUCGAAUCCAUCUUCCCCCA
rnacentral:tRNA from 1 species